rnacentral:rRNA from 1 species
UACGUAGGGGGCGAGCGUUGUCCGGAUUCAUUGGGCGUAAAGAGCUCGUAGGCGGUUCGGUUAGUCAGAUGUGAAAACUCCGGGCUCAACUCGGAGAGGCCAUCUGAUACUGCCGUGACUGGAGUUCGGUAGAGGAGUGUGGAAUUCCCGGUGUAGCGGUGAAAUGCGCAGAUAUCAGGAGGAACACCGGUGGCGAAGGCGGGUCUCUGGGCCGUAACUGACGCUGAGGAGCGAAAGCAUGGGGAGCGAACAGG